GAUGAAGAACGUAGCGAAAUGCGAUAAGUAAUGUGAAUUGCAGAAUUCAGUGAAUCAUCGAAUCUUUGAACGCACAUUGCGCCCUCUGGUAUUCCGGGGGGCAUGCCUGUUCGAGCGUCAUUAUAACCACUCAAGCUCUCGCUUGGUAUUGGGGUUCGCGGUUUCGCGGCCCCUAAAAUCAGUGGCGGUGCCUGUCGGCUCUACGCGUAGUAAUACUCCUCGCGAUUGAGUCCGAUAGGUCUACUUGCCAGCAACCCCUAAUUUUUUUAAGGUUGACCUCGGAUCAGGUAGGGAUACCCGCUGAACUUAAGCAUAUCAAUAAGCGGAGGA
rnacentral:misc_RNA from 1 species